GUGCUUGCUUUGGCAGCACAUACUGGAACAAUACAGAGAAGAUUAGCAUGGGCCCUGCACAAGGAAGCAUUCAUAUAAAAUAAAAUAAAAUAAAAUAA
rnacentral:snRNA from 1 species